rnacentral:rRNA from 1 species
UACGGAGGGCGCAAGCGUUGUUCGGAAUCAUUGGGCGUAAAGCGCGUGUAGGCGGCUUGGCAAGUCGGAUGUGAAAUCCCGGGGCUCAACCCCGGAACUGCAUUCGAAACUGCCUCGCUAGAGUCCCGGAGAGGAGGGCGGAAUUCCCGGUGUAGAGGUGAAAUUCGUAGAUAUCGGGAGGAACACCGGUGGCGAAGGCGGCUCACUGGCCCGUAACUGACGCUCAGGCGCGAUAGCGUGGGGAUCAAACAGG